AAAAUAGAACAUAGCCCAAACCUGUAUCAAAAGCACCACCAACUCGGAUCCUAAAAGCACACAUACUAACAGAUCCUACACACAAAAGAUCAUAGAUCAACUAUAUCAAAACUACAACAAAUAACUCUCCACCCUUUUGUGAUCUUUAAAUUAAAUUUAUGAAGAAAGAAAAUAAAAUUUGUUUUUAAAAAUAGGUGUUAGACUUGGACACAUAAGCAUUGCAAUACAUCGACUUGGCUCUUGCUAAAAUACGGCUGCUAGUAUUAGUGAUUGAGCAAUCACCACGUUAAAACUUAUGACUUAAUAUACAGAGAAGCACCACAUUGAUUUGGGGUUUAACCAACCAAAGGAAUGAAGAAGAAAUACCGACACUAACGUGUCUUAAGAUCAAGAACAUAAAUAAAGUAUUUAACUUUUUUGUUCGAUCUUUUUAUAAAUUGUGUAUUCCUAUUAAAAAUUGGUUAUUGAUAGGGCUUUCAAACGACCUGCUAAAGAAUAGAGCAUAUUAUCUGCAUUCAGUUCUAAGGCUUCUUUGUACAAGUGUUUUUAUAAUCGCUUAGUUUUUUUUGGUUCUUGAUUCUGUUUUGGGUUUAUUGCAUCUACAUGUAUGUAGGUAUUAUUUUGGUUUGCAAAAGCUCAAGACAUACGAUUAAAGUUUUUGUAUCGAAAUUAAUCAAGCUAGAGAUAACGUAGGCAAUUCAUGUGUUCGAUGAAUUGCUCAAAUGAAAAUCAACAGGUACAACACAAUUAAUGUUGACUUUCUUUCAUUGAUAAAUGGUUUUACUACAUCAGGUUGUGUCUUUUAUUGUUUUUGUUUCUUUAUACAGUAAAUGAAAAACAACAUUCACCUUUUUGCACAGACCAAAUGAAAAUUUCUUGACAUUUUUCUUUCGAGCUGCAUAUACAAAUGUUAUAUCAGAUUUUUUAAUUGUACUCAUGGUUGAUGCUUAUGAAGAUAUUCCAGUAGAGACAAGUGGUGAUAAUGUCCCACCUCCUGUGAACACUUUUGCUGAGAUUGACUUAGGGGAAGCUUUAAAUUUUUGUAUAAAAUUUGUGGUUAAUGUUACUUGAGACAAAGGGAAAGAUUUGAUAUAGGAGAAGUUAACGGGGUAAUUAGUUUGUAGAAUGUUAUUAGAAGGAAUAAAAUCUGUAAAAGAAAUUGGAAUGUAAAGGAAUCAUAAUGUGUCUCUAAGAAUGGAAGUUAAUAAAAAAAAUUAAAUAUUUUUUUUUUU